rnacentral:rRNA from 1 species
AUGCAUGUCUAAGUAUAAGCAAUUAUACAGCGAAACUGCGAAUGGCUCAUUAUAUAAGUUAUCGUUUAUUUGAUAGUACCUUACUACUUGGAUAACCGUGGUAAUUCUAGAGCUAAUACAUGCUAAAAAUCCCGACUCCGGAAGGGAUGUAUUUAUUAGAUUAAAAACCAAUGCCCUCUGGGCUCCUUGGUGAUUCAUAAUAACUUUUCGAAUCGCAUGGCCUUGCGCCGGCGAUGGUUCAUUCAAAUUUCUUCCCUAUCAACUUUCGAUGUUUGGGUAUUGGCCAAACAUGGUCGCAACGGGUAACGGAGGGUUAGGGCUCGACCCCGGAGAAGGAGCCUGAGAAACGGCUACUACAUCCAAGGAAGGCAGCAGGCGCGCAAAUUACCCAAUCCCGAUUCGGGGAGGUAGUGACAAUAAAUACUGAUACAGGGCUCUUUUGGGUCUUGUAAUUGGAAUGAGUACAAUUUAAAUCCCUUAACGAGGAACAAUUGGAGGGCAAGUCUGGUGCCAGCAGCCGCGGUAAUUCCAGCUCCAAUAGCGUAUAUUAAAGUUGUUGUGGUUAAAAAGCUCGUAGUUGAACCUUGGGCCUGGCUGGCCGGUCCGCCUCACCGCGUGCACUGGUCCGGCCGGGCCUUUCCCUCUGUGGAACCCCAUGCCCUUCACUGGGUGUGGCGGGGAAACAGGACUUUUACUUUGAAAAAAUUAGAGUGCUCCAGGCAGGCCUAUGCUCGAAUACAUUAGCAUGGAAUAAUGAAAUAGGACGUGUGGUUCUAUUUUGUUGGUUUCUAGGACCGCCGUAAUGAUUAAUAGGGACAGUCGGGGGCAUCAGUAUUCAAUUGUCAGAGGUGAAAUUCUUGGAUUUAUUGAAGACUAACUACUGCGAAAGCAUUUGCCAAGGAUGUUUUCAUUAAUCAGGAACGAAAGUUAGGGGAUCGAAGACGAUCAGAUACCGUCGUAGUCUUAACCAUAAACUAUGCCGACUAGGGAUCGGACGAUGUUAUUUUUUGACGCGUUCGGCACCUUACGAGAAAUCAAAGUGCUUGGGCUCCA